ACAGCAGUAGCCGCGGGAAUACGGAGGGUGCAAGCGUUAAUCGGAAUUACUGGGCGUAAAGCGCACGCAGGCGGUCUGACAAGUCAGAUGUGAAAUCCCCGGGCUUAACCUGGGAACUGCAUUUGAAACUGUCAGGCUGGAGUCUUGUAGAGGGGGGUGGAAUUCCAGGUGUAGCGGUAAAAUGCGUAGAGAUCUGGAGGAAUACCGGUGGCGAAGGCGGCCCCCUGGACAAAGACUGACGCUCAGGUGCGAAAGCGUGGGGAGCAAACAGGAUUAGAUACCCCUGUAGUCCCUGUCUCUUAUAC
rnacentral:rRNA from 1 species